CUUUCCCUCUGGCGGCAGGCCUAACACAUGCAAGUCGAGCGGAUGAAGGGAGCUUGCUCCUGGAUUCAGCGGCGGACGGGUGAGUAAUGCCUAGGAAUCUGCCUGGUAGUGGGGGAUAACGUCCGGAAACGGGCGCUAAUACCGCAUACGUCCUGAGGGAGAAAGUGGGGGAUCUUCGGACCUCACGCUAUCAGAUGAGCCUAGGUCGGAUUAGCUAGUUGGUGGGGUAAAGGCCUACCAAGGCGACGAUCCGUAACUGGUCUGAGAGGAUGAUCAGUCACACUGGAACUGAGACACGGUCCAGACUCCUACGGGAGGCAGCAGUGGGGAACAUUGGACAAUGGGCGAAAGCCUGAUCCAGCCAUGCCGCGUGUGUGAAGAAGGUCUUCGGAUUGUAAAGCACUUUAAGUUGGGAGGAAGGUCAGUAAGUUAAUACCUUGCUGUUUUGACGUUACCAACAGAAUAAGCACCGGCUAACUUCGUG
rnacentral:rRNA from 1 species